rnacentral:rRNA from 1 species
CAGGAUUAGAUACCCUGGUAGUCCACGCCGUAAACGAUGUCGACUUGGAGGUUGUGCCCUUGAGGCGUGGCUUCCGGAGCUAACGCGUUAAGUCGACCGCCUGGGGAGUACGGCCGCAAGGUUAAAACUCAAAUGAAUUGACGGGGGCCCGCACAAGCGGUGGAGCAUGUGGUUUAAUUCGAUGCAACGCGAAGAACCUUACCUGGUCUUGACAUCCACGGAAGUUUUCAGAGAUGAGAAUGUGCCUUCGGGAACCGUGAGACAGGUGCUGCAUGGCUGUCGUCAGCUCGUGUUGUGAAAUGUUGGGUUAAGUCCCGCAACGAGCGCAACCCUUAUCCUUUGUUGCCAGCGGUCCGGCCGGGAACUCAAAGGAGACUGCCAGUGAUAAACUGGAGGAAGGUGGGGAUGACGUCAAGUCAUCAUGGCCCUUACGACCAGGGCUACACACGUGCUACAAUGGCGCAUACAAAGAGAAGCGACCUCGCGAGAGCAAGCGGACCUCAUAAAGUGCGUCGUAGUCCGGAUUGGAGUCUGCAACUCGACUCCAUGAAGUCGGAAUCGCUAGUAAUCGUGGAUCAGAAUGCCACGGUGAAUACGUUCCCGGGCCUUGUACACACCGCCCGUCACACCAUGGGAGUGGGUUGCAAAAGAAGUAGGUAGCUUAACCUUCGGGAGGGCGCUUACCACUUUGUGAUUCAUGACUGGGGUGAAGUCGUAACAAGGUAACCA